UACGGGGGGGGCAAGCGUUGUUCGGAAUUACUGGGCGUAAAGGGUUCGUAGGUGGCCAACUAAGUCAGACGUGAAAUCCCUCAGCUUAACUGGGGAACUGCGUCUGAGACUGGAUGGCUUGAGUGCGGCAGAGGAGACUGGAAUUCCCGGUGUAGCAGUGAAAUGCGUAGAUAUCGGGAGGAAUACCGAUGGCGAAGGCAGGUCUCUGGGCUGACACUGACGCUCAUGCACGAAAGCGUGGGGAGCAAACAGG
rnacentral:rRNA from 1 species